rnacentral:lncRNA from 1 species
UAACGACAUAUAAAUAAACCGUGCAAUAUGCUUUUUGCUGUGCAAUAUGCAUUUUGCUAUCCGCCGUUUUUGAUCACCUUCAAAUAUAGUUUAACAUGUGACUAUCCCUGAACGAAUAAAAUAAGUUAAAAUAUACGAAUUAAUAAUACUGAUCGAGUAAGAUAAAUAAAAUGUAGAGAAAAGUGACAUAACAAUUUAAAGAAUACAGAAAUAAACACCACCUCCUACC